rnacentral:lncRNA from 1 species
GCCUUCUGAAGAACUUUUCUCGGGAACAUAUGACUCAGCAGUUGAAUUCCCUGAGGGACGGAGGCCCCUGAAGUCCUCCCAGCUAUGGUUGGAGUCCACACCUCUGGAACUUGGCACCUGAUCCUGGAAGGGCAGAAGGGGACUCCCGAAGAUGAGAUGAUACGACAUUUGGCCGAGCUGUGGAGACUAUCAUUCAGAAUGAAGCAAGGGAGAGGCCUCAGGGGAAGGAGUGAGCCUGCUGAGACGAGGGUCUCCAAACCCUGAAGCAUCCAAGGUGGGGAUGGGCCACCCAAAAAGUGUGCCCAAGGAGGCAAAGUGUAGGCCCAACUUUUUUUUUUUUAGUCUUGUUUGACCAGCCUUGGCACUGCCCCCCCGGCUCUCCAGGGGAAAACUGCAAUUCUGCUAUUGCAACACAGGGAGCAGACUGGAGAAUUUAGAUCUGCGUCACAGAGCUCAGAGAGAGAGAGAGAGGGAGAGAGAGGGAGAGAGAGAGAGGGAGAGAGCAAGGGAGAGAGAGAGCUCCGUCGAUAGGUCUGUUAGCAACAGCCUUGCUGCCUCAGAGAGAGAGAGAGAGAGAGAGAGAGAGAGAGAGAGAGAGAGAGAGAGAGAGAGAGAGAGAGAGAGAGCGAGCAAGGAACAAGUAAUAUCAACAUUGGGUACUGGGUUCUGCCAGCCCACUUGCGAAGCUUUCAGAGAUGUAUUGGGGACAUCGCAGCCCAUGGGAGCUCAGGCAGAGAAGAUGACACGCAAGGUUGGAUGGAGAGCUGGGACUGCGCAGGAGGCGACAGGCAGUUCUGACGGGUUCCCAGACUUGGUGGUGUGUACCCUCUUCUUCCCCCACUUCCCAUGUGAUGGCCUUCCCUGUACUGCUGCAUCAUUAACCGAGUGGCAGGGCUGGCCCUUCAUUGGCCAGGGGAGGGCUCAGGCUCCAGACGUUUCUUCCCAUUGGUGAGAAGGGUGAUGGCAGGUGAAAAGCUCUUUUGGAUUGGCUGAGGACUGGGUAUCAAAUCUGAAUUUCCAUUUCACUGGAGAAAAAAGGGGGGUAGGUUGGUGAUGAUGGUUGGAGUGUGGGGGUGGGGGGGAGCUGAGCAGUUCUGAUCUCUCAAAGCUCUUCAGGGGUGCGUGUGUGUGCGUGCACGCAACAGUGCCCAGGGGUGCUCUGGGGCUAAAGCUUCUGGGCAUUCGUGGGACUGAUUUACUCCGUGGAUGUGAGACAAGCUCCCAGCUGUACAAACUUUUUUUUAAAAUGGGUUUUGUUUUUUGUUUGGAGGGGGUGAAGAGUUGGAUUUUAGGCAUGAGGGGUGGCAGAAGAGUUGACAGCCUCAGAAGAAAAGCUUCCUGAGCUUAUUUGAUUUCAAAAGAGGGAGUUUCCAGCUGUCACCGGCCGCACCUUGGUGUUGUAGCAAGAUCAUUCCCAACUCCCCUGGAAAUGCGUGGGCAAGGUAGGGCUGCGGCUGCUGACUCCCGACGGCUCCCCGGGGACCAGAGAUUUGCAUUGACGUCCAGAGAUAGCCUUAGUCCUCAGGGGCCAGAGGGGGGUCAGGCUAUGGGCUGAGAGGACCUGAUUUCCUCAGACCAAUCUUUGGGUGGGAAAGGAAGGAUGGGAGGAUUGAUCCCAGGAGGUGAGCCCACUUGGGUGGGCUUUCUAAAAGAGUUGAUAGAAGAAAGAGCUUUCUGACCUGCAUCUUCCCAUCUAAAGGAAGGAGGAUUGUGAGAGAGAAACUAGGGCAGCAGCUGUUGGCUUUGGGGGGAAGAUGGAGGUUGGGAGGGGGGAAGAACUGAAAAAGAAAUGUUUAUAGGAAUCUCCAUCUUUCACUCAAAUGGAGGUCCCAAGUUUGCAGUAGCUGUUCAGGUAAGGAAUAGGGUACCGGAGACCAAGCCUCCUCCCCCCACCAUACCAGCCGAGGAUGUCAUGAAAUCUCAGCCCGGUGGCCCAGCCGGUCCCUCCUUGUCCACCUUCGCCCCGCACAGGCCCCUCGUUCUUUAGUCAGGGCUUGGGCCACCCCAGUUCUUACGUAACUGUGUUCUACACCUUCUCCUGUCCUUUGGCAUGUCUAGCACCCCCCUUGGGGUCCAGACAUCGCAGAAGAAAAGUCCUGGCUGGGGAGAAAUUAAUGAACGAUGUCGCUAACCAGCCCCCAAAGGGUGGCGCAGUCAGCGACGCAGGAUGAAUGGGAGGGCAUCCUCUGCUUGGUCCUUGUCACCAAUGGUUUCCUGGGAGCAUCUGCCCUGGAGAUAGAGUGGUCUCAGCAUCCUUCUGUAAUGCCACUCAUUUGGGGGGAUCUUUCCAAAGGAAAAGGUAGGAUGGCUACUGGAUGCAGAAUUUUCUUUUUUUAAGAGAUGGGGGCCACUUGGGAUGGCGCAGAGUUGUUUGGCCCUCUCGGUCCAUUGCCCUGGUCCUUCCUCGGCCCCUUUUUGUUGUUUUGGUUCUCUGACUCUGGAUUCUUUACCAUGACUCCCUUUGGGGGUUUCCUCCCUCCGUGGAGUGGGCUUCUUGGGUCCUGCUGUGCCAAUUGCGCAGAACGGGCGGGGGCCGGGGGGAGGGGAGGAGGUAGAGGACCUGGGGAGCUGCGGAAACAGCAGCAGCAGAAGACGUGGUGCAGAUUGCGGCAGUGAUGGGAGCUUCUCGGAGGCAGAGCCUAGAAGGUUUUGUUGUGCCCACCCUUACCCCAAAGUCUUAGCCAGACGUGGAGAAAUACGUUUAUUGCUCUUGGUCCUGGGGCCCUGCCUGGGACUUCUGGCAUCGCUGGUUGGGGCCUCACUGAAUCAGAAGCAUUUGGGCCCCCCCUUCUCCAGACAGGGGCCUAAAGCCCUUUGGGGGGCUGGGGGUGAAGAUCUUCGAGGUGAGUGACGUAGCAUAUAACUUGAGAAGGAUCAGACCCGUGGGCUGGUAUUCCCAGCAUCACCAGUAGGGAUGGGAUGGAAAUGGGUGUUUGCUGGUGGCCAUGAUGUUUUUGGAAUGUCAGAAAUCACUGAAUCAUGGAUCUGAGCUGGAAGGAAUGUUGAAGGUCACCCCUUCUUUGGCCAGAUGGGGAAAUUGAGGCCCAAGGAGGUUAAGAUACUUCUAAAUACCAGAGCCAGGAAUCAAAGCAGGGUCCUCUAACCCUAAAUACAGCCAUGCGUUAUGGCUAGAAUUCUGGAUACCCUUUGAUUCUUUUCUUUGCACCUUCUUUAUUCCCACAUAUACCAGCCUGGAAUGGAAAACUAAGAGGUUCAUUUGGGGGUGGAGAAAAAGAAGCUAGAAUAAAGGGGAAUCUGUAAUGUGAGCA